CCUACGGGUGGGCAGCAGGCGCGAAAACUUUACAAUGCUGGCAACAGCGAUAAGGGAACCUCGAGUGCCAGGUUACAAAUCUGGCUGUCGAGAUGCCUAAAAAGCAUUUCAUAGCAAGGGCCGGGCACGACCGGUGCCAGCCGCCGCGGUAACACCGGCGGCUCGAGUGGUAACCGUUAUUAUUGGGUCUAAAGGGUCUGUAGCCGGCCGGAUAAGUCUCUUGAGAAAUCUGGCAGCGUAACUGUCAGGCUGUCAGGAGAUACUGUCUGGCUCGAGGCCGGGAGAGGUGAGAGGUACUUCAGGGGUAGUGGUGAAAUCUUGUAAUCCUUGAAGGACCACCAGUGGCGAAGGCGUCUCACCAGAACGGACCUGACGGCAAGGGACGAAAGCUAGGGGCACGAACC
rnacentral:rRNA from 1 species